ensembl:lncRNA novel transcript
GCGACGCCCGAGGACCCGACGGAGCUACACCCGCUAGUUCAGCCAGGAGGCCCUGCGCGGCUCCGGGGAGAGCUGGGUGGUUAUGCCACCUCAUUAGACACAUUGGUGGACGAUGCCGCGGAUUAGCGGGUUGGCUCUCAGGGCGGGGCGCAGGCUUUCUCACUGAUCCGGGAGCGUGGGAGCAGGGGCAACGCGGGGCCAUCCGGGAGCUGCCCGCCUGCUUCGCAGUUGGCUUUCCGGGCCCUCGAGCAACGUCUGACUUUGCCCUUUGUUUUUAAACACCAUGCAGGAUGGUUUGUGUACAAACGAAGCCGUGUCACUUCUCAAGUGUCGGUGCUCAACGUGGCAACGCCCCUCCCGCCCCCAGUACAGAGAUCCUGCCCAUCCACCGACAAUCCCCCUCCUCAUCUUCCUUCCCCCAGGUGCGAGUGAUUCAAGGAAAUCCGACUGGAGGGAACACACGCUGCGAUGCACCCUCUCCUCUUCCAUUGAGCCAGGGGUGACCUUGAGAGACUCAGGCCACCUCACCAGGCUCUACCAGGAACAGCGUCUACAGCUGGUAGAGAGCACGGGCUGCAGAGAGGUAAAGAUGGGGUUCGGAAGCCAAGGCUCCCCUUGUUGCAUGGGUGACAUCAGGCAAGCUACUCAACCUCUAACCCUGGCUUCCCCUUCUGUAUACUGGAGACAGUAUCGGCCCCACAGGCACUUGUGGAGCAAGUGGGUUUGAGCUGAGCUCCUCUGAAAAUCAGAGGCACACUCAGAGAGUAGCUCAGAAAACCAGGAUGUGUCAGUUUCAUUUGCUGGGAAGCAGAAGCCAAGAUAGAAUUAGAAGUGCAAUGUCUGUGAAGGAAGAAUAAAGGGAAAAGGAAACAGGAGUGGGGCAGGGGGCAGACCAAAAGGAAGACAGACAAGUGUGAGAAGGAGCCCCACAGUGCAGUGUAAGCUUAAGAAGGUGUGGAGAGGAUGGGAGUCACUCACUGGGCAGGAAUGGCCCAGCUCCAGCACCUUGCUAUGACCAGCCAGCUGCUGGGAACAGGCCAGGAAGAGUGUGGCCUUAGCGCAAACACUGGGGUGGAUCUCGAGAUGAAGGUGUGGCCGCUGGAAGCUGUCACUUCACCACUCCUCUUCUGAAGAGAGAGCUGAGCCCUGCACAUGGGAGCAUUGGUGAAAAGGGUGGUAGACGUUUAUCAGUAACCUUACUGGUUUUGUGCUCCAUCCUCCAUCUCCCAAAGUCCCCCUGACCUUGCCUUCAGCUCCAGGAAUGGCCACAUGACUCAGACAAAGCCAACCAGCCAUCCCAUUUCAGUGGCCAGUGAUGAAUGAUUCAGUGUUUACCCAAACGCAUCCAAUCAGGGUGAAUCUGAGGACAUUUGCUGGGGAGGCUGGGACACAGAUAAUCUCUUUUCUGACAGAUGGUAACAAGAAAGUAGGUAGCUGCAGGGGCUGCUGGCAGCCAUCUUGAGACAUGAAAGGUGUCCAAAUUGGGAUGAAUUCAGCACUGAAGAUGGUGGUACAGAGAAACAGGAGAUAGGGCCUUUGAUCACAUUGUUGGAUGGCUGGUUAAGCCUCUCCUGAAAUCCAUUCUACUGCUGGACUUUACAGUUCAUAAACUAAUAAAUCCUCUUUACUGUUUGAA